UUUAAAUACUAGUCAAAUGGUUGAGUCAUAUGGCAGAUGAAGAUUUAAUAUGGUUGUACAAUUUCACACUCUGAUUUACUGUGUAUAAGAAUUCCAUCUGUUCUACAUUCAUGACCUCUACUUGAUAUGAUGCAUAAGAUCCCAGUUGCAACAGAUGACGCACUCAAGCUGAAGAUAAUUUAAUAAAAGGAUUACUUACAAAGCAGUUUGAAACAACAACAAAAAAGGGAUAGUAACUCUAGGAAGCUGGUAUCACCAGGAAACCUGAAUGGGCGAGAGAAGGGAGCAAAUCAGAAACCAAAGACAACAGCACGAAGAGUGAUUUUUGAUAACAGCUGAGGCCUUUGGUAGAGGGACAAAACCAACCCCUGGAAAUGUAGGAAGUCUGGGAAAUAAAUGUCAUGGGCCUGUGCUUCUCUUUUGAUUUUCUUCACUGUCUAAAGGUCUCCAAGAAAUUACCUAAUGUAAUUCCCGUAGGUCAGUCUUUUACAGCACAGAACAAGGGAGAAGAAUAGAGAAAGGAAUUGGCGUGUAAAUGGCAGAUGACUAUCCCAUUUUUAAUUUUUUUCUUCAUUAUACAAACAGUGUUGCAAUAGCACUCUUGUUUAUUUCCAUAUAAUAUAUUGGUACUUUUAUAUUGCAUGAUUUACCAUCAAAAUUGGGAUUGUGGAGUCAAAUGUAUUCUGUCUCUCUUUCCUUCAGUUUAAAGAGAUGAUUGUGCCACUGUGCUUCGGCAUGGACAACAGAGGGAGACCCUGUCUCUGAAACAAACAAACAGUAAUGUCAGAUUUCUUACCCUAAAAAGUCGCAGUUAACACUCUGAUACGCAAUUUAUGAGAAUAUUUGUGAUAUUUUAAAUUAUUCCAAUAACUUUUUUAAAAUUUGUGGGUGAUGUUGGCCAU
rnacentral:lncRNA from 10 species